rnacentral:rRNA from 1 species
AUACAGAGGGUGCGAGCGUUAAUCGGAAUUACUGGGCGUAAAGCGCGCGUAGGCGGCUUAUUAAGUCAGAUGUGAAAUCCCCGGGCUCAACCUGGGAACUGCAUCUGAUACUGGUAAGCUAGAGUUUUGGAGAGGGAAGUAGAAUUUCAGGUGUAGCGAUGAAAUGCAUAGAGAUCUGAAGGAAUACCAGUGGCGAAGGCGACUUCCUGGCCAAAAACUGACGCUGAGGUGCGAAAGCGUGGGUAGCAAACGGGAUUAGAAACCCUAGUAGUCC